rfam:Schistosoma haematobium scaffold422_44, whole genome shotgun sequence.
GCACUGCUGAGGAGUCCAAUGUCAGGACGAAACGGGCGUCCAGUGC